GAGCCGUGUGGGGCCGGUGGGUGCGGGGCGCUGCUGGGGGUGACGGGAGGAGGGGAGCAGCGGGGGGACACCGGACCGGGGGGAGUAGCAGGCCUUAAGGGUCCAUCAGCAUGCUCCAGGUACCACUGCCCCUGGAUCGUGAUGGGAUCCUAUUCCGGCUCCGUUUCACCACUCUGGCUGUUGGGACUGUGUUUUGCCCCUUGUUUGGUUUCCUUUUCUGCGUGAUUUGGUCUCUGCUCUUCCACUUCCAGGAGACAACAGCCACCCACUGCGGGGUA
rnacentral:lncRNA from 1 species